UGGAAGGAAUUGUCCGUUGUA
rnacentral:siRNA from 1 species